GAACUAAAAAAUGGMCUAGAGCCCCGCCUCUCGGGUGYCGGCCCSGGCUUGASGGGUGCUUUUAUUUGAUCAAAACCMAUCCAGGGGCUAAGCCGGCGGUGGGAUCGCUCGCUGCCSGUUUCUCYUUCGAUUUGGUGACUCUGAAUAACUUUCCGCUGAUUGCACGGCCUCGAGCCGGCCACSCAUCUUUUUAAUGUCUGCCUUAUCAACUUUCGAUGGUAGGUUAUGCGCCUACCAUGGUUGCYACGGGUAACGGGGAAUCAGGGUUCGAUUCCGGAGAGGGAGCCUGAGAAACGGCUACCACAUCCAAGGAAGAAAGCARGSGCGCAAAUUACCCACUCCCGGC
rnacentral:rRNA from 1 species